UACGGGGGGGGCAAGCGUUGUUCGGAAUUACUGGGCGUAAAGGGUUUGUAGGUGGCCAACUAAGUCAGACGUGAAAUCCCUCAGCUUAACUGGGGAACUGCGUCUGAUACUGGUUGGCUUGAGUGCAGGAGAGGAAUGCGGAAUUCCAGGUGUAGCGGUGAAAUGCGUAGAUAUCUGGAGGAACACCGGUGGCGAAGGCGGCAUUCUGGACUGCAACUGACACUGAAGAACGAAAGCCAGGGGAGCAAACGGG
rnacentral:rRNA from 1 species